rnacentral:rRNA from 1 species
CAGCCGCCGCGGUAAUACGUAGGUGGCAAGCGUUGUCCGGAAUUAUUGGGCGUAAAGGGCUCGCAGGCGGUUUCUUAAGUCUGAUGUGAAAGCCCCCGGCUCAACCGGGGAGGGUCAUUGGAAACUGGGAAGCUUGAGUGCAGAAGAGGAGAGUGGAAUUCCACGUGUAGCGGUGAAAUGCGUAGAGAUGUGGAGGAACACCAGUGGCGAAGGCGACUCUCUGGUCUGUAACUGACGCUGAGGAGCGAAAGCGUGGGGAGCGAACAGGAUUAGAUACCCCUGUAGUCCCCUGUCUCUUAUA